rnacentral:sRNA from 1 species
CCAGGGGCUUACGCCCCUGGCUAUUAUCUGACGCCCCUUCGGGGCU